rnacentral:lncRNA from 1 species
GCAAGCCCUCCUUCUACAGAAACUCGUCCUUCCAGAGCAAGCCCCAACUCAUGAGAGCUCUCUUAAGGCCGAGUCCUUAAAGUCUCUCCACAGAGAAUUACAAAAGCAAAGAAUUUCACACUUGGAAGGAAACUUAAAGACCAUCUAGUCCAACUGAUGUAGUUUACUGGCGAGGAACUUAAGCUGAGUGGAGGCAAAGAAUCACACUUCAGAACAUCAGAUACGUGCAAAUACAUGAAUGAAUGAACGAAACAGAAGAAAAACCACAGGAUUGUUGACAUUAUCAAGAUACUUUUAGUCCUAGGAAAGGAAGAAGGAAAAGAAAAA